AAAAAAUUAAAAAAAAACUCUAAAAAUGGCCUAGCCGCCCAGCGUGGGUGGCUUAGCCCAUGGCUAGCCGCCCAAGCUGGGCGGCUAGGCCCUUUUUUAUUUCUUUUUAAUUUUUU
rnacentral:pre_miRNA from 1 species